GCAACUUUGGCCGAGCGGUUAAGGCGCUAGACUCAAGAGAUUACAUCUUUCACUGUUUCAGUGAGCAUUCUAGUCACGAAAGUGGCGUGGGUUCGAUUCCCACAGGUUGCA
rnacentral:tRNA from 1 species